rnacentral:rRNA from 1 species
AUUGAACGCUGGCGGCAGGCCUAACACAUGCAAGUCGAGCGGAGCGGCGGACGGGUGAGUAAUGCCUAGGAAUCUGCAUGGUAGUGGGGGAUAACGUCCGGAAACUGGCGCUAAUCCCGCAUACUAUCAGAUGAGCCUAGGUCGGAUUAGCUAGUUGGUGGGUUAACGGCCUACCAAGGCGACGAUACGUAACUGGUCUGCGAGGAUGAGCAGUCACACUGGAAUUUAGACACGGUCCAGAUUCCGACGGGAGGCAGCAGUGGGGAAGAUUGGACAAGGGGCGAAAGCCUGAUCCAGCCAUGCCGCGUGUGUGAAGAAGGUCUUCGGAUUGUAAAGCACUUUAAGUUGGGAGGCGUUACCAACAGAAUAAGCACCGGCUAACUUCGUGCCAGCAGCCGCGGUAAUAC